CUGACUCUCUUUGGACUCAGCCCGCCUGCACCCAGGUGAAAUAAACAGCCUUGUUGCUCACACAAAGCCUGUUUGGUGGUCUCUUCACAGGGACGCGCAUGAAAUUUGGUGUCGUGACUCAGAUCGGGGGACCUCCCUUAGGAGAUCAAUCCCCUGUCCUCCUGCUCUUUGCUCUGUGAGAAAGAUCCACCUACGACCUCAGGUCCUCAGACCGACCAGCCCAAGAAACAUCUCACCAAUUUCAAAUCCGAAGGCAGGAAUGUCAGGCCUCUGAGCCCAAGCCAAGCCAUCGCAUCCCCUGUGACUUGCACAUAUAUGCCCAGAUGGCCUGAAGUAACUGAAGAAUCACAAAAGAAGUGAAUAUGCCCUGCCCCACCUUAACUGAUGACAUUCCACCACAAAAGAAGUGUAAAUGGCCGGUCCUUGCCUUAAGUGAUGACAUUACCUUGUGAAAGUCCUUUUCCUGGCUCAUCCUGGCUCAAAAAUCACCCCCACUGAGCACCUUGCAACCUCCACUCCUGCCCUCCAGAGAACAAACCCCCUUUGACUGUAAUUUUCCUUUACCUACCCAAAUCCUAUAAAACGGCCCCACCCUUAUCUCCCUUUGCUGACUCUGUUUUCGGACUCAGCCUACCUGCACCCAGGUGAAAUAAACAGCCAUGUUGCUCACA
rnacentral:lncRNA from 1 species